UACAGAGGGUGCAAGCGUUGUUCGGAAUUAUUGGGCGUAAAGAGCUUGUAGGCGGUCUGUUGCGUCCGUUGUGAAAACUCGAGGCUCAACCUCGGGCUUGCAGUGGAUACGGGCAGACUAGAGUGCGGUAGGGGAGACUGGAAUUCCUGGUGUAGCGGUGGAAUGCGCAGAUAUCAGGAGGAACACCGAUGGCGAAGGCAGGUCUCUGGGCCGCAACUGACGCUGAGGAGCGAAAGCAUGGGGAGCGAACAGG
rnacentral:rRNA from 1 species